GUUUGAAAAUGGGUAUGACAUUCCGGAUGAGAGGUAUGAGUUAUGGGUUCAGUUAUAUCGUCCUAAUAUGACAUCUCAAGAUUCAAAUGCUGAAGAUGAAGACCAAGAUUCCUUGAGUAAUGACACUGAUAAAGGAGAAGAGCUUUCAAUGAGUGCUGCAAACAGUAUAGAGACACAGACACAUACUGUCACAGCUAAUAAC